GUGGCAGCAGGACCAGUGAUGGUGAUAGCGGCAACAUUUAGUAACGCAAUUUUUGAGAGAUUACCGCCGGAGGAAGAAGAGCAGGAAGGCUCGCAAUUGCAGGAGCAAGUGAAUUCAGGGACUAAUAAUAAUAGCAAUACUGCUGUAGGUGGGGGUGGCGGCAGUGGUAAUAAUAAUAAUUCAGGUUCUCAAUCUUCUCAGCACAUGGGCGAGCAUGGUUCGAUGCCUGUCUACAAUUUGCCUCCUAAUUUGCUACCCAAUGGGCAAAUGCCACAGGAGGUGUUUUGGUGUCCUCCUCGUCAUCCACCUCCCUCUUACUGAUGUGUGUGUGAGAAAGGGGGAGGGGCUAGAGUUGUUAGCUUUGGAUUAGCCAACCGAUAUGUGCAAAAAUGUACUGGAAAUUUUCAUGUAAGCAUCAUAUAACAAGGAAGAGGUAGGACUUUUUGGUUUAGUUUCUUGUGAAAAUUAGCUGCCUUUGAUGCUUAGGUUUUGCUAUAUAUGUGUUAGAACUUGCGGAUGUACCUGUUAUUUUCUCUAAUCAACCCUUUUUUUUCCAAGGAAAAAAGAG
rnacentral:misc_RNA from 1 species